rnacentral:rRNA from 1 species
GUUGGCUUAGAAGCAGCCAUCCUUUAAAGAAAGCGUAACAGCUCACUAGUUAAGUGAUAGUGCGCCGAUAAUUUAACGGGGCUAAACUAAGUACCGAAAGUAGGAAUCUCAAACUCUAGUUUGAGGUGGUAGGGGAGCAUUCCAUGUUUACUGAAGCUGUAUCCGUGAGGGGCAGUGGAAAACAUGGAAGGGAGAAUGUUGGCAUGAGUAACAAAAAGACAGGUGAGAAUCCUGUCCACCGAAAAUCCAAGGUUUCCUGAGCAAUGAUUGUCAUCUCAGGGUUAGGCGAUCCUAAGCUGAGGCAGAAAUGCGUAGGCGAUGGAAGAGCAGGUUAAUAUUCCUGCCCUACUUUAAAUAAUCGAUGGAAGGACGUGGUUUUGAUUUAGUAGCAUUUUUUGGCUAUAGGUGUUUGCUUAAAGACAGUGCUUUCUAGGCAAAUCCGGAAAGCGCAAGCUGUUUUAAAGUGAAAAGAUUGAGACUUCGGUCAAGGUCAAUUAUUAAUGAGAAGCCACCAAGAAAAAUUUCUAAGAGCUAAUAUUUAAAGUAUACGUACCGUAAACCGACACAGGUAGAUGAGGCGAGGAGCCUAAGGUGUACGAGAGAAUCUUCGUUAAGGAACUCGGCAAAAAAGCGACCGUAACUUCGGAAUAAGGUCUGCCUCUAGCAAUAGAGGCCGCAGCGAAAGUACUCGAGCGACUGUUUAACAAAAACACAGGUCCCUGCGAAAGCGUAAGCUAAUGUAUAGGGGCUGAUGCCUGGCCAGUGUCAGAACGUUAAGGGGAGAGGUGAAAGCUUUGAUCCGAAGCGCUGAUGAACGCCGGCGAUAACUAUAAUCGUCCUAAGGUAGCGAAAUUCCUUGUCGGGUAAGUUCCGACCUGCACGAAUGGCAUAACGACUUGAGGACUGUCUCGACGAAGAACUCGGUGAAAUUGCAAGACCGGUAAAGAUGCCGGUUACCCAUAGCUGGACGAAAAGACCCCAUGAAGCUUUACUAUAACUUGAUAUUGGUUUAGGGGCAUGUUUGCUUAGGAUAGGUGGGAGACUUUGAAGUUUCGCUUUUGGGCGAGAUGGAGUCAACGGUGAAAUACCACCCUGACAUGCUUUUAAAUCUAAUUUCCUACCAUGAAUCUGGUGGAAAGACAGUGUUAGGCGGGUAGUUUAACUGGGGCGGUUGCCUCCUAAAAAGUAACGGAGGCGUUUACAAAGGUUGGCUAGCUCCCGAUGGAAACGGGAUGUGGUCGUGCAAACGCAAAAGCCAGCUUUACUGCAAGGAGUACAAUCCGCGCAGUUGCGAAAGCAGAAGUUAGUGAUCCGACCGUUUCGAUAUAGGACGGCGGAAGCUCAACGGAUAAAAGCUACUCUGGGGAUAACAGGCUGAUCAGGUCCAAGAGUCCACAUCGACGACCUGGUUUGGCACCUCGAUGUCGGCUCGUCGCAUCCUGGGGGUGAAGAAGCUCCCAAGGGUUUGGCUGUUCGCCAAUUAAAGCGGCACGUGAGCUGGGUUCAAAACGUCGUGAGACAGUUUGGUCUCCUAUCCACUAUGGGCGCUUGGAAUCUUGAGUAGUCCCUUUCCUAGUACGAGAGGACCGGAAAGGACGAACCUCUGGUGUACCAGUUGUUCUGCCAAGAGCAUUGCUGGGUAGCUAAGUUCGGUUUGGAUAAACGCUGAAAGCAUAUAAGCGUGAAGCUGUCUACAAGAUUAGGAUUCCUUAUAGAUACCUAAUAGAAGAUUAGGUUGAUAGGUUCUAGGUGUAAGAUCAGUAAUGAUUUGAGCCGAAGAAUACUAAUUAUCAAAGCAAUCGCUGAA